CCAGAAGUUUGCUUUUAAGACGCUGUUGGCACAGCCGUGUUCUGGUAUCGUCGUCAGGGAUUUCAUUUAAAAAGAAAUUUGAACAGCAAGUUGACAACAAGUCUGCGGUGAAAGUUACGAUAUUUUAAAGGACAUAUAAUCUGCUGUGCUUUUCAAAACCCCCAAAUAGUUAUCAAUGUUGCUCUUUGUCUUGGAACUACAGAUUUUCCGUAAAAGAAAGCCUGGUUUUAUCAAGG